AUUGAACGCUGGCGGCAUGCCUUACACAUGCAAGUCGAACGGCAGCACGGGUGCUUGCACCUGGUGGCGAGUGGCGAACGGGUGAGUAAUACAUCGGAACAUGUCCUGUAGUGGGGGAUAGCCCGGCGAAAGCCGGAUUAAUACCGCAUACGAUCUACGGAUGAAAGCGGGGGACCUUCGGGCCUCGCGCUAUCGGGUUGGCCGAUGGCUGAUUAGCUAGUUUGUGGGGUAAAGGCCUACCAAGGCGACGAUCAGUAGCUGGUCUGAGAGGACGACCAGCCACACUGGGACUGAGACACGGCCCAGACUCCUACGGGAGGCAGCAGUGGGGAAUUUUGGACAAUGGGCGAAAGCCUGAUCCAGCAAUGCCGCGUGUGUGAAGAAGGCCUUCGGGUUGUAAAGCACUUUUGUCCGGAAAGAAAUCCUUGGCUCUAAUACAGUCGGGGGAUGACGGUACCGGAAGAAUAAGCACCGGCUAACUACGUG
rnacentral:rRNA from 1 species